rnacentral:rRNA from 1 species
UACAGAGGGUGCGAGCGUUAAUCGGAAUUACUGGGCGUAAAGGGCACGUAGGCGGUAAGUUAAGUUAGAUGUGAAAUGCCUGGGCUUAACCUAGGAAUUGCAUCUAAAACUGGUUUACUUGAGUAUGGUAGAGGAUAGUGGAAUUUCCGGUGUAGCGGUGAAAUGCGUAGAUAUCGGAAGGAACACCAGUGGCGAAAGCGGCGCGCUGGAUCCCUACUGACGCUGAGGCACGGAAAGCCAGGGGAGCAAACGGG